UACAAGCUACAUUGUACGUAUUUGAAUAAGUUUUAACCUCUAAUGAAAGAAUAGGGAGUUUUACAUUGAGAUCCUAAUGUCGCGCCGCCCAUGAAGCGGAAGACAGGAAGGUUUCUGCGGACACCCACUUGGUGAAGUGGUGGUUUAAAACUUACUAUGAAUAAAUACGGCAAAUGUGGCUCGUAU
rnacentral:other from 1 species